ensembl:piRNA 21ur-7185 ncRNA
UUGACUUUUCGUUUCUAAAUA